CUUGGUCAUUUAGAGGAAGUAAAAGUUGUAACAAGGUUUCCGUAGGUGAACACUGCGGAAGGAUCAUUAUCGAAAUUCGAAGGGGGGCGACGCGCUUCGCCCCCUUUUACCUCUCUCACACCCGUGUGCACCCAUUCGCAAGGUCCUCCGGGACCUGCGCAUCCUAUCGUGGAACUCCGCAUGUCUACAGAAUGUCAUGAAAUUUGAAACGAGUAAUACAACUUUCAGCAACGGAUCUCUUGGCUCUCGCAUCGAUGAAGGACGCAGCGAAUUGCGAUAAGUAAUGUGAAUUGCAGAUUUUCCGUGAAUCAUCGAAUCUUUGAACGCACCUUGCGCUCCUUGGUAUUCCGAGGAGCAUGCCUGUUUGAGUGUCAUCGAAAUCUCGAACCGAGCCUCUUUUGACUUGGUUUCGGACCGUUGGGAGUCUGCGGGCGACCCGCCAUGGGACGUCGGCUCUCCUGAAAUGCAUUAGCGGGUGGGCGCGUGACCCCUGCCCCUUCGACGUCAUAAUGAUCGUCGUGGGCGAACGAACCGUGUCCCGCGCUUCUCUAACUCGGCAGAGGGGAGCUUUCGUGCUCUUCUCCUUGCCCUUCGAAGGCUGAACCUCAAAUCAGGUAGGACUACCCGCUGAACUUAAGCAUAUCAAUAAGCCGGAGGAAAGA
rnacentral:rRNA from 1 species